UCGCUCCUACCGAUUGAAUGCUCCGGUGAAAUCUUAGGACUGUUGAUGCAGUGAGGCAACUUACCGCGUCUUUGGGAAUUUGAUUAAACCUUAUCAUUUAGAGGAAGGAG
rnacentral:rRNA from 1 species